UGCGCUUGUGAUGGGGACCUGGACUCAAUUCUGAGGCCAAUUGAAGUCUGCCGGUUCGUGCUGCCCGAUGCCGUCUGGGUCACCAGAGAGCAAGACAAUAUCUUCAGGGCUCUGUGGCAUUUGGGAAGUUUCUCUUGGCGGACCUUGCGGAAACGAUGGGAUGUGAAUGCCAAUUUGGGCCCUGAUGCUUCUCCCAAAAGCAGGAACUUAAGAAGGCGUGGAAGAGCCCGGGGGCCUCAGUUGGAUCACUGAAUGCACAGGAUAUCCCACCUGAGUGCAGGUUCCCGGUUAUCACUUGAUUCAAGACUCCUUUGUCAGAAGAAGUCCUGACUUGUACAAGUUUAUAAUCUUACAAACUUUCGAUGAAACUGUGCAUAGGGGUUGACUGCAUAGAGAAGCGGCCAACACGCUGAUGAAAAGGGCAAAAGGAUCUGCAAAGACUUAGAGCAGAGAAUCAGAGAGGCACAAAUUUAUGAAACUUACCAAGCAAUCCGUUUGAAUUUAGCAAUAAAAAUAAACGAUAAGAAACUUGAAUAGUCGAUCUUGUUAUUCACGUUGUCUUUCCCAUUGUGACACGUGUCUGCUUUGUGCUGCAUGUAUUUUGUGAUCUUUGUGAUUUUUUGGACAAGGUUUUGUUCUGUGUUUAUCUGUUUCUGUAGUCCAGCUGUCUGAAUUUUAUUAUUGUAUUAUAUGUUAGCACUACCGCACAUGAUUAAAUGGUUGCACUUGAUUUGUUUUGCCAAUAGUUGCGGUGUAGUAGGUUUUGUUUAUUGUGCUUUUACUUA